rnacentral:lncRNA from 1 species
UGUGCAAAGAGAGUAUGUGUUUGGACUAGGGGUGGGCAUCGGUCAAACCCGAACAUGUCGGGUCCGGGUGGAUAUUUUCAACCAUUAAAAGCCGGAGACUGCAAGGACUUCGGGGAAGAAGUUUUGUUUGCCUUAAGGUACUACUUCUUCGCCUCUCUUAUUUUCCCUCUUUCUUCUUCUCUAAUUUCUCAGGUGGAAUCCAGAUUCAAUCAACCGGUAGGUGGAUUCCGGCUUGCAACGCAUUCUGCUCUUCGUCUCGCAAUCGUCCGUCUGACAAUCUAUUAUGUGUAACCAUAACAUUACUUUCCUGUAUUUUUCUACUGA